UCUACAAAGUUUAGACUCAGGGGGGCUGAAUAUGUCACACUAAUCAUAGGGGGAGAAGAAAACUAAACCUAUGUGUCUUUUUUCCUUUCACUGCUUUGUGUUGGUCCAUAAAUGAAAUCAGCCCAAAUCAUUAAAAUUAGAUUAUUAAUAAAUUCCAUUGUAUCAAAGUCAGUGAAUUCAUAUUUAAUCUAAAAUAAAAGAGAGAGAAAACACGCCCUAAAGCCCUCCAUGACCGAAUUAAACUAAAUUUCACAGUUAGAGGCAAAGUUACAAACAGAACGUUCAAUUAGAAGCUUGGCGAUGGUUUACUGAAAUGGAUAAAGCUGUUUCAAAAAUAACUGUCCUGCAUCAAUGAUGUUUAAAAAGUUAAC